rnacentral:lncRNA from 1 species
AAGGCUGCCAGAUCGACCCCAAUUCUCACUCCAUUGCUGCCUAGAAUAGAUACUCUUUGGUUCUCAUGAGCAUGCGCGCCCAAGAAAUCCAGGACCACAGAGGUGUUCUUGGUUUAAAUUUUGUAGUCAGUUGUCUUCAAAAGCAUGCUAUUUCCACCAUGUACUUUAACCUACAUUUGCUUUCUGUAUCAAAAAAUAUUCAAAAUGACAUACUGUUCUUACAUGCCUCAAAACUGAGCUAUCUUUACCCUAAACAGGGCAGCAGAAUAUAGUUUAGUGGUACCCAGCUAUAGAAAUAAAUCUUAGGGGUCAGAGUACCUAUGUAGCUUUCAGAGGUUUGGAAACCAUGGUGUGAAGCUAAUGUUGAACAAACAAAAAUGGGAUAGAGAUGACUUGUAUUAAAAAUUUGAGUCUUGGAACACUCAGAACUAUUUCAGUCUAUUUAAAAUUUCAAGUGAGACAAUCAACUAUGUAUAAAGUCCUUAGUGCAGUGACUGGUCCAUGCCAAAACUGUUAAUAAUUAUUUGUAUCUGUUUUUAUAGUAUGUAUAGACUCCAUUACAUCAGUUAGUGAUAUCACUUACAGACUCUAAGUUUACACCAGAAAAUAUUUUUUUAGGGAAAAAAAAAAAGCUGGUGGAGAUAUAAUUCAAAUUAUUGCAUGAUAAAACUAGGAUUUUUUUUAGUCGUUCUUUAACUAUGUACCUGUCUGCAACUGAACAUGAUUAUUUUUCCCAUCAAAAUGUGCAAGAUAAGGAAUACUGGAAGGAGCAUUAAGAAUGUGGUUCUCAGUUGCUAGCUGGUGAAAGUCCUAUUGGAGAAAAAGUGCCAGAUGUAGCAGUGUUCUCUAAAACAUGACUUAUAGGAGAUAUAGACAAAAAAAAAACCUAAUUAAAUAUGAACAGAAAGCCAACUGUGGCAUGAUGACUACCAGGGAGCACCCUUGCCAUGAAUAGGACCUCUUCAAGAAGAAGGUCAAAACUUGUUCAAAUUCUUCCUUGUAACUAUGGUCUCAGCCUUCAGCAGCCUCAAUGUCAGUAUCCUUCUAGAAUCAAUCAUAGCUCAACGGAAUUGAGGAGAUGUAAUUUUGCAUGUUCUAAAAUAUUCAGAGGAAGAAAAUGAUCACCCAUAUUUUUUAGGACAGGACACAGAUGCUCAGACAUCAGGGAUUCUGAGUCUCAUUGUGAGUAAAAUAAAGAUCCGGUAGCAGAGUGGUCCUAGGUCUCAGGUGCCCUGACUCCUGGUCCAGAUGUUAGAGAUGGGAGUAUUUCUGGUGACGCUGGAAGAUAAAUUGUCUGACUCCCUUGAGAAACAGCUGAACCAGAAAUGGUUUUUGAGACUUCACUCUAUCUCUAGACUAGGACUGAUUCUCCCAUGUCACAAAGAUGUCCCAUCUGAAUGUUUCAUCUUCAAAGGGCUCAGAGAAACCUCCUGCCAAUGAGCACACCUAGGGAGAUACUGAAGAACAACCUUUUAACCAUGUGUAUAACUUCUCUCCACCCUUCUGACUAUUACUGCUUUGUCUCUCAUAUGCUGCAAAGAUUGGACAGGUUUACCUGUUUGGUUCAUCCCCUGGACUCAUUAAGAGCCAUUCACAGAUCCUUGGGUUGCACCCUCAGAUACUGGCCCACUGCAUGAGACUUCUCUAUAGGUUUAAGGUUCUGAUUUCUUUGGGAAUCUGACUUGCCGCAAACUUCCAGUUCAACCAUAGGUGACUGUGUACUGGAAUAUCUGGGGUUUGUCUGAGUAUGUCUAGUUCCUCUCACUUGACCCUAGGGGAUCCUAAUCCUUGCCAUUUCAUAGAUAUUUCAAAGAGUACAUACUCUUUGCCAAAAGCUGCAUUGGAUCUGUCCUUCUUAAAACAUAUCACGUCUGUGUAAUUGUGGCAACACUUUAGGGAAAAAUUUGGUAUCUCAUGAUUCACAUGCAGAAAUCUAGAGUUUCCACUUGAGCUGUGCUUACAUUUGCCAGAAUUUAACAGUGCUCCCACAGAAAUCUGUAUUAAACCCAUUGGUAAGAUAGGAUGUCUUAGUGAUCCUGAUUGGGCUGUUCCAAAAACUUCUGAAAGAUUCAAAGAGAAAAGUGACACAUUAUGGUAUGGCUUUGGUUUACUGGAUUAUUUUAAAGACUGUCAUUCUGCCUGAAUCCCCCCUCCUCCCAAUGGCACUCCUUCAAGAUUGAAGUAAGUGUCAGGAAAGAAUAGUAAUCUUUUGACAUAUUAAAAAUUCAGAGAUCUGUGCAACCCGAUAAUGGCUUAAAAUUAACCAAGCCUAGCCUAGUACUUUGGAAUAUACCAAACUCCAAUUGGAAACUUAAGAUUUAUGAAAAAGAAGAGACAGUUUGAUUUCAGUGCUCCUUUCUUCAACUCUGCCUGCAAAACUGAGGUCUGGGAUAGGAGAAGAGCUCCCCCUGCGUUCUCCUUAAGUGUUGCAUGCAUGAGAGUGAUGCAGUUCUCUGAUGCCUGCAUGCUGCACCCUUAGUGUAAACCCACCCGAAGGCUGUCACUGGCUGCACAGACAUCAAAAGCUGAAAGAAAAAGAGCUGCCUAGAUGUCACAUAGUACGAGAGAAAGAACUGAGAUUUUACACUAAGCCAUGGAUCUCAAAAGUUUUUCCUAUCCCCUGGCACUACCCCCCCCCCCAAGUGUCACAUGGCAGUAGAAAUGCUCCCCAGUCAGGCCCUGUGGUCCCUAAGAAGACGAUUCCCUCCUCUGCAGUCAGCGUUCCAAUGAAAUGAUCACAGACCCACCCAUGCCCUGGAGAGUAGAAGAAAGACUGUCCGCGGCUCCUUUGACUAUUCAGCAAGUUCUUUGAAUGUUUUCACCAUCCAGCUGUCGGAGGCAGAAAGCGAUGCCGCAUAAAUUAUUCACACAGUUCACAUUGGAGUCCAUUAGCCCUUAGAGUUUGGUGGCCACAGAUAUUCCCACAAACACCCUUUGUUCUCGGUCCCCACAGAUCCUCUGUCACCAUAUUUACCUGAACAAGUUCAAAAGUAUCCCAGGCUCAGCUGACUCUCAUCUUCUUUCUCUAGACUGUAUCUUUAUUUCAGGGCUUUGAAAUUUUGCAGACACAAACAGGCCUUUAAAAAAAAAAAGUUCUCUGAGAGGCCAAAAGUGCAGAUCAAUUAUUACUCCAUCUUUCAAUAUUAAGAGAACAAGAAUCUGCACGGACACCAAAUGGAUCUCCUAACUGGGCCAUGCUUUACCCUUCUGAAUCCAUUUCCAGGGAACGAGAGAUCAGGUCCACCCUCCAACCCUCCCUGAGGGCUAAAUGGAGGAUUUGGAUAGCCCUUCAGUCAAAUUGCAGACCCAAGCUGUUAGAGAGAGAACCUGUGCCCAAUUCUGAAAAGCUAACCUAGGAUGGAUGCACAUUAUCAGUUCUGCCAGUCCUUCCCAUUU